rnacentral:lncRNA from 1 species
GCCUUGAAUUUCUGCCCUGACUUCCCUCAGUGAUGGACUGGGACAUGGCUGACUUCCCACCAUACCCCACUGGACAUGAGUGAGCAGAUGUCCUUCCAGGUAUCUAGUGCCCGAGGAGUCAUGUGUCACAUGCCCAGUGAAAGUUUGGUGACUGAAUGGGUCCAUCUUCUGCUUUCAUGAUUGUCCCCAAGCCAGAGUGAUGGAGGAUGGAGAGAGAAUGUGGAUUGGUACUAAGGUGUCAUGUGACUGCCUCAGACUGAAUUGUAAAACAUUUUUGGACAGUUUCAUACACGGAGAUGAUGAAGGUUGGAGGAGAGGAUCAGGAAAGAGCUGUUUGUACGAACGAUCUCCUAGUGGACCUCCGGAAGAAGAAAAGGAAGAGUGAGAUAAAGAGUGAAGGUCGGACAGCAGCAGCAGAACAGAGAAAAGAACACGCAAAGGCAGGAGAGCGCUGGACGAAGCCAGAUAUCUAAAAGGCAACGGGACCAGGAACCAGUACAGAUGAGGCUGAAUAACGAGGUAGCAGCCAGUUUGUGGAGUGACUCAGGGGCCAGGGCAAGGGAUUUGGUCUUUCUUUCAAGAGCACUGAGAAAACAUCAAACAUAAUCUAAAAUAAGCCAACCUCUGGUUUAAAGAGAU